UACAGAGGUCUCAAGCGUUUGUUCGGAUUCAUUGGGCGUAAAGGGUGCGUAGGCGGCGCGGUCAGUUCGUGGUGAAAGCGCGGGGCUCAACCCUGCGUCGGCCAUGAAUACUGCCGCGGCUGGAGCACUGUAGAGGCAGGCGGAAUUCCGGGUGUAGCGGUGGAAUGCGUAGAGAUCCGGAAGAACACCGGUGGCGAAGGCGGCCUGCUGGGCAGUUGCUGACACUGAGGCGCGGACAGCGUGGGGAGCAAACAGG
rnacentral:rRNA from 1 species